CCACAGAUUGCUUCUGUGGGAGCUUGUUGCUUGGUUGGUGUAAUCUGUAACGGAUUGUUGUAUGUUGCAAACGCAGGAGAUUCUCGUGUUGUGUUAGGAAGACUGGAUAAUCCGUUUAAAGAGUUGAAAGCUGUUCAACUAUCGUCAGAGCAUAACGCAAGUAUCGAAUCCGUGAGAGAUGAGUUGCGUUUGUUGCAUCCUAAUGAUCCGAACAUUGUGGUCUUGAAACACAAGGUUUGGCGUGUGAAAGGGAUUAUACAGGUUUCGAGAUCCAUUGGUGACGCAUACCUAAAGAGAGCAGAGUUUAACGAAGAACCGUUGUUGCCUAAGUUUAGAGUUGCAGAACGUUUUGAGAAGCCAAUUAUGAGAGCUGAGCCAACGAUAACAGUUCAUAAGAUUCACCCGGAAGAUCAGUUUCUUAUAUUUGCCUCUGAUGGUUUAUGGGAGCAUCUAAGCAACCAAGAAGCAGUUGAUAUCGUCAAUUCUUGUCCACGCAAUGUAAGAUUCUCACAAUCACUCUUCUUGCAUCCGUUUUUUCUUCUUUUGUGUUCGGUCUGAUCGAUCUUGUUGGCAUUUUGUGGUGUCUCUUUAGGCUGUGGCUCGGAGGUUAGUGAAAGCUGCAUUACAAGUAGCAGCGAAGAAGAGAGAGAUGAGAUAUUCUGAUUUGGAGAAGAUAGAACGUGGCAUCAGGAGACACUUUCACGAUGAUAUUACCGUUAUUGUUGUCUUCCUCCACGCUGCAAAUUUUGGGAUUCGAACUCCGGUCUCUGUCAAAGGAGGUGGUCACCUCUCAGGCAAUGCGUUUUUAUAGUCUUCUUUUUAAUCCUAAAAUAAACAAAACAAAAAUCUCGUUUUUUUUUUUCGUUUUCCUUUUUUUUUCUGAACUAUAAUUUGAGUUCUACAGCAUUUUGUUUGCUUCUUUCUUUAUAAAUUUUUUAUAUAUAUAUAUAUAUCUUUGGUUUGUUCAGAACUCAGAUUGUCUGAUACUUGUUUAAAUUAUUUUCUGAUCUCAAAAUUGUAAAUUUUUUCUUCUUUUUUUGUUUCUCCCAAACCAUGUUGUGCUUUUAGCUAUACGAAAAGAGAAAGUGAAAAUAAAAUUAUAAAAUUAAAAAAAAAAAUCUCCAAAAAUUGGUGAAAUGUGGAAAAUAAUGUAAAACUUGUGGAAGUUAAGUAAACGUUCUCUCAUUUGGAGAAGUGAAAACCACUUUCCGGGAAAAUCCUAAUCGGAGCUGAGAAAACCAAACGGAAGAAAACGCUGAGUGAUGAUGAUGAGUGUCGGAGUGAAAGCUAGCGUGUGCUCUCCUUAUUCAUCGCUUUCGAUAUCCUCGAGGGAUUUUUCUUUCCCUUCCUCGUCAUCUCUCUAUGUUGGUAGGAAAAUUCUCCGACCAAGCUCCGGUGUUUACCUGAACCGGCGGUGUAAUUCCAGUGUACUGGCUGUUAUAGAGUCAAGGUAAUCAGAUUAUUACCUUCUGAAGAACUUACAAAGAAUACAAAUUUCGCUUCUAUUGAGACUUUCGAUGUUUGUGUGCUGCUCUGUCUCUUGUUAUUUUGCAGCCGAGUGCCGGAGCUUGAUUCUUCUUCUGAACCAAUUCAAGUGUUCGAUGGAACGACAAGGUUUGGAUUUAUAGAAUGCUUUGAUUUCAUUUCUUGUGAUCAAUCUUGUUGAUGAAGAGUUUUGGCUUCUGCGAUUUGAAGGUUGUACAUAGCUUACACUUGCCCAUUUGCUCAGCGUGCGUGGAUUGCUCGAAAUUACAAGGUUGCAUUUGAUUAUAAUUGUAUGCUGAUUUUAUGUAGAUAUGGAACUAGUUUGAUCUAGAUCAAUCUUGUUGUUGUUGUGCAGGGUCUACAAGACAAGAUAGAACUCGUACCGAUUGAUCUCAAGAACAGGCCUGCUUGGUACAAGGAGAAAGUUUACCCGGCUAACAAGGUCAACUUUUUAUUUUAAGCAUCUGUGAAAGGAUUGAGCUUUAGCAAAACUCCAUAGGAGCUAUAGAGUUUUCUUCUCUGUUUUAUGCAGGUGCCUGCAUUAGAGCAUAAUAACCGAGUGAUAGGAGAGAGCCUUGACCUGAUUAAGUACAUUGACACCAAUUUCGAAGGGCCUUCACUUACACCUGAUGUGAGUAAUGAUGAGUUGUUUGUUUUCUUUGAAUUCGAUUUUAUAAAUUAAGUGCAACAUAUAUACUUAGAAGAGGUAACAUACAUGGAACAACGAUAGGGUGUAGAGAAGCAAGCAGUCGCUGAGGAGUUACUCUCCUACACCGACUCCUUCUCCAAGGCCGUUAGAUCCACAUUUAAUGGCGCCUAUAAUGAUGCAGCAGGUGAUUGUUAGAAGAUGAAGAUACGUCUUCCUUUUGUGUUUUGCGGAUACAUUCUUUUCCUUGUGUUUGAAUCUUUGUCUUCCAUUUCUUCAGAUGGUGCAUUCGAUUACAUCGAGCAGGCUCUUUCCAAGUUCAAAGACGGACCUUUCUUCCUUGGCCAAUUUAGUUUGGUAUUGUCGAUUUAUCUUCAUCAGUUUCUUUAAGCCUUAUCCGCUCUUGAUUCUGAGUCUAAAAUGGGGAAUUUUUUUUAUAAUAUACAGGUUGAUGUUGCGUAUGCUCCAUUCAUAGGUACAUUUCAGAUCAUCUUAAAGGAUGUAAUGAACGUGGAUAUCACAUCUAGCCGCCCUAACCUAGCCCUUUGGUUUCAGGUUACACUAUUUCUUCGACUUUUGUUAUCUUUCAACUAAAGACCAAAUCUUUCCCAUCUAAGUUUUAGUUCUUCGCCUUCUUGUGCAGGAAAUGAACAAGAUUGAAGCUUACACAGAAACCCGUCGAGAUCCACAAGUUAUAGUUGAAAGAUACAAGAAACUAAUCCAAGCAGAAGGACGUCUCUAAGCAGAUAGUUCUCCGGCGUUUCUCCAUUUGGUCAUAUAAGAGAAGAUAUUGUAACCAAGAUUUGUUUUAUAUAUAAUUUAUAUAUUGUCUCGGGAAAGGAUUAAAAUAAAAGCAUCUACAUGACAGGCAACAACUGUUUUCAUCUAUCUCAGUGUUCAUGAGACCAAGCAAGUCUCUAACUAGAAUGAAAAUGCACCUGCCGCUUUUCCUUCAUUGUCCAUCAGAUCGUGCUUGUAGCUUCAAUAAAACUCAGUGUGAGGCAAGGAGCAACGUGAUUCAGAAGAGAUAUUAUACAAAGUCAAACCAAGCCCAGUGCCCAAAGUUGAAAACAGAACUAAAGCAUCAUAAGAGUCUUAUAGUGCUUGCCCAGCUAAUUUCAUUUUGUAUCCAGAGAGAGAAAUUAGUCAGCUUUCUUCAAGAAGAAGAGAGGUAGACGUCGCUGAACAAGUCUUCCAUUCUAUGUGUAUAUACUGAAUGCAAAAAGCUCGAAAAGAAAGUUUCGCUACUUCUUCUUUAGCAGUACUCUCCAUAUCUUCCUCAUAUAAACAACUAAAGACCAUACAGAGAGCCCUGCAGAUACAUAGAGUAACACAAUGCCCGACGGUAAUAGUCUCUCAAAACUGCUAUCCCGGCUUGCAAGAAGUAUGGUUAGGGCUAUCAUCUGCGUUGCAGUCUUCCACUUUCCCAAGCUAUUUACAGCAACAGCCUAAGAACAUCAUCAUUUCCAGCUAUAUGAAUUAGUAGGAACAGUAACAAACAAAAAGUAUUCGAGUAUGCUUAUGAUGGUGACGAUAACUUUACCUCUGAAAGCUUGCCGUUUUGAGAUGCAGCCCAUUCUCUUACUGCUGACAUAGUAAUCUACAGUGAAAAGUAUUACCAAAUAGUUUGGAACCGAGAGUCAAUAAGUGGCUAAAUGCUUAAUGAUUAUCUACGAGUAAGUCAACUUUCUAUAACUUACCUCUCUACCAAUUAUGGCAAUUGAAGGUACUGUCACUAACCAUGGAACUGGUCCUAAGAUAAUGGCGUCCAUUGGUUUAGUGCACAACAAGAUUAAUGUAGCUGCUACCAUAAGCUGCACACCCACGACAUCAAUUUAGAAAGGUAUAUAUUUCAUUUUUACUUGAUACGGCUUGAAAUGAGAAAGAAGAAUAACAAAACGGAUUGCAAAGGAAGAGAGCCUUUCACCUUAUCUGCCACUGGGUCCAAAAAUGCACCAAACGCAGAACCUAAUCUCAUCUGAAAUGCACAUCUCACCGUUAAGCUUCCAGUUUCGAGAGUGGUAAGAAGAAUCCAGAGAAACUUAAGAUAUGCAGAAGCUCAAGGGAGGGUGCAAAAUGAAGUACCUUUCGAGCAAUAUAUCCAUCAAGCCAGUCUGUAAUGGCUGCUGCAAUGAAAAUACUUGUUGUUGCAGUUUUCCCCCACCAGCAAUCAACGUAAAAGGCUACAUUCAAACACAAAGAGAUGAACAUAAUCGCAAAUGGGAUACAAUCAAAAUGAGUAAUACAUCAUCAGAAGAUCCAAUUCAGAUUAUUGAUCAAACAUGUACGAAAGCUUAAAAAUUUCUGGGUAAUGGUAAAACGUGAGGUGCUCAUAGCUAUAAGGUCAAUUCAAAAAGAGUUCUCUUUAGAUCCUCCACAAACAGGAGAACGAGAGAAUCUGUAUCCCAAUGUCAAAUUCAACCAAUUCUGAUCUGAAAAACGGAUUCUACAGAGCCAGAAAUAUCACAAUUGCCUCCUCGUUUAGAUCUGAUCAUGGACAAUGACUCCACCAUAAUUCAGAGUCGAACCCCAAAAAAAAAAAAAACAUUUUCGGGAACAAAAAUCAAACGUACUCGCGACGAGAAUCGGAACGGCAGCUACACGGCCAAGGGUUAAUACGGUAGGCAAUGUAAUCACUUUAGAAGAUAGAUGUUGAGGUGGCGUCAAUGGCGACGAAUGGCGAUGACGGAGCAAAGAAUCUUCGCCACCACCGAAUCUGUCCUGAUCCACCGCCACGGCGUCUUCUUCACCCAUAUCCGCCACAAGACCUGAUCUGCAAACUCGACGAUCCGCCUUUCUCCGACGAAGAGGAAGAGAAGCAACGUAAAGGGCGGUGGCGACACCUCCCCAGAAUCCGGAACCCUAAGCCUUUAUGGAACGCACAACGGCCAAUAAUGAUGCAGCUUGGAGAGAUGCUAACGUGCGCCAACGAGGGAAUUAGCGAGCGGGGGACGUAACGUGCGCCGUAGAUUGACGUCGACUGACGAUUGUUAUUGAAGCAAAAUAUGGUACUUUUUGGCCUUAUUAUUAUGCAGUGGAGCAAUUUGGGCCUUGUUUAAUUAAUUCUAUUACCUUAUUUAAAUCUGUAAUUUGAUUUUGGUAAUUAGACAAAAGUAUUUGUAUGGGUGUAAAUUAAAGUAGAUUAAGCUGUGUAUUUUUUUUUACAAGUGUUAGAGUUUUUAUUGGUUAUACGAAUAGUUAUGUUUUAUCGACCGACACACAAGUUAGCUGAUUGGAUCUUCUUUAUUUGUAAUAUAAAUUGAACAAUAAUUUAGAUUUUAUAAGAUAUAUACAGUAUAUAUAUUAAGUAAACGAUGAAUAUGAUGGACAAGUUUGGACUGUUUAUACUACUUUGGUCACUGCAACAAAUUUUAGAAAUAUUCAAACUUGGUAGUUAAGCUGAGAUAUACAAAUUAUUGCUAUCUUUUGGUUAUAAAAUGUUACGUUAAUUAACGCCAAAAAAAAAAAUUAGUAAUUUGGUUAUACUGCAUUGCAUGAAGUUCCUCGCCACGCUGUCUACAAAAUUUUGAUCACAAUCACAACUGCCAUAGCUGUUGAUAUUCCGCAUGUCGAUUGUUAGAGAAAAUAACGAUGAACCUAAAUUCAAUCCUUGUCCAUUUUUAGGGUCUAGUUAAUUAUUUUUUGUGACAAUUACUCAAAUUUCUAUAGUUCGGACACCUUGAACCAUCGAGAUAGAAAGCACACAUACAAAGUGAGUCUAUAUGGUGAUUACAGAUACGAGAAUUACCUAUUAACAGAUGAUACAUAUAUGAUCUGAACUUCAAGUCCGAAUUUUAUUCCAAACCACUUUUUAAAAAUUUGAAAGAUCAACGACCGAUGAAUCAGCGCCUGUGAAUGCCAAAAUUGAAAACAUCUUUUGACAAAUAAAGAUUUCCUUAUGUGUACUUUUUACAGAAAAAAUACUAUAAUCGAUUGCUACUUUCAAUCCAUUCCUAUAAAGUGUGUAAACUUAUCUUUAAACUUAAGUUUGACUGGAAAAGAAAACAAAAAGAGAAAGAGUGUGAGCUUAAGAAUAUCUAAAUCCUAACUCCAUACAACUUGUAUGAGCAUUUUCUAACACAAUAGUUAUCAAAGCUAAAUCUGAAAGGUCUAAUUGAUAUUAAAAUGUCAAAAUACGAAAUAUAAUAGAGUUGUCUGUGAUAUAAAUUUCUCAUUUGAUUAAACGUAACAUGUGAAGCGCAUUUGCAUUGCUUAAAUGAUUAUAUACAAAAAUCUAAGACAAGCUUUUUAUUUUGUUGUUGCCAGAUUUAGUUCCAUAUAAAAGUCCUUUACCAACUCCUAAAGCAAUUAUCCUUUACCGACAAGUCGACAACCAUUGCAAUCCCCACAAUUAUUAACUUGCAUUAUUUUUAGAUUUCAUAAAAAUCACCUGAAAUAUGAAUACCUACAAAUCGAAGUUUUUCUUGAACGUAAUAAUGUUCUUUAGUUUUUGAUGUUGCAGCAUGUAAAUAGAGUUAUAUCAUUCCAUUACUCGUCUCGCUAUAAUUUUUUCUUGUUUUAAUCAAUAAAAAUAUUAAUAGUAGAAAGAGAUGAAAUGAAAAAUACUGUCAAACGCAAAACCAUUUGACCUCAAUCAUCACCGUUUUAUAACACUAAAAAGUUCAAACCCGAAUUUAUCUUUCUUAAUGUGGCAUUCGAUUGUAGAGUAUAUAAAAUAAUUAUUUAGUUUUAAAAGUUGCAAUUGCUACACUAAUCGUAUACACUAUAACCACAAAAAAUUUUUUUGUAAACCCCAACAACUACAAUUGCACCUACCGGGUUUAAGCGAAAAUUACAUAUUACAGAUUUGCAAAUGUCGUAAGUGUAUUUAUUUAACUAUUAAUAAAUUUUACUUGCUAGUUAACUAUUCAUAACAUUUUUUUGUCUUUAUUUUUAACAUUUGAUUGUAAUUGACUAACUUAAAACAAUUAAGAAAGUGAAUUGUUGAUAUUUAUUGGAAUCAUUUUUUAUAAUAAUUUUCAUAAAUACUUUUCUUUUAUGUAAUGCUUUUUUAGUUAUUUUUUUUUGUUUUUUAUGAAUAAAAUAACUAACUCAAUUAAAUAAAUUCAUAUUUUAAGAUAACAGGUGUUCUAAACAAUGACAUAUAAGCGUAAAUUUGAUUUUUGCUAGACAUUUUUGACAAAUUUCUAUGAAAUAUUGGAAGACAACUAUGAAAUCACAUUCUACAUCCAAAAUAAGGAAGUAGUUAAAAAGUAAGAAUCAAAAAGUUAAAAAGAAACUUUUUUUUUUUUUUAAUGAGAGAAAGAAAAAGAAGACGUUUUGGACUGUGUGUCAAGGAAUCGACGCAGUCAAAUUUCACAUGUAAUAACCUCGUCGACAAUCUCGCCCUUUCCAUGUGAUUUCCCCACUCCUUCUCUCUCUUCUCUCUCUGCUCUCUCUCUCUCUCUACUGCAACUUCCUCUUCCUCCUCCUCCUUAACUUCAGUCGCGGUAUUAUGAUCAACUAGCUUGGAUCUUCUUUUCUUCUCUUCAGGUUCCAACUCUCACCGGACUAGAUCUCUUCUUCCCGGUUACUAAUGAGGAUCGCCGCCGCCUCUUCCAAGCCUCCCAAUCCUCUCGUCGCCUUCGAGCACAAGAGGUUUCGCGUUUCCUUCCCCUUCUUCUCUACAUUUCUCACAUUCUCUUCCUGUUUUAUGAACUUGCGCGCUCUCUCUCUCUCUCUCUUUAGCUUUCGUGAGCGAAAUAUUGUAUCUCCGAUUACGAGAGCUUAACUGUUCUUAAUCUGACUUAUCGUUUGCUUGAUUUGCAUUUUAUCAACAAUUCGUCCCGAUUCUGAUGUUCGUUGAUCUUGAUUUCAAGUACAAUCCUAGUGAUUCGAAUGCGAUUUUUUUUUGUGGCAUUUGCUCCCAAUGUGGCAUAAUUAUCAGUCGAGGCGGUCUUUGAUAGCCAAUUCGAAUGUUCUUAGAGAAAUACAAGGAGCUGGGCUUUAACUAAAUUUUCAUGUGCUGUUCAAUUGCUUGACAAUUUUGUAUCAACGGGUAUACAUUUCUAGGAAACAUGGGGAUUUCGUCUGAGUUAUAGAUGGGAUUUUAUUUCUCAGUAUUAUUUUGGGAACUCAUAUGGCUAUUUUUUUUUUACAGGGAUUCAUAUGGAUUUCCUGUGAGACCUCAACAUGUGCAGAGAUACAGAGAAUAUGCUGAUAUUUACAAGGUUCUAUCUCCAUAUCUCCUAUUUUCUACUCGGGAUUUUCAUCCACAUGAAUUGUUGGAACAGUUUGUUUUCACCGUGGUAGUGAGAAUGACGAUUCCAUUUAGAAUGACACACCUUAGCUACCAAAUGCUUGUAAUAAGUUCUUUUUGGUUCUUGGAAUGGUCGAAGUGGUUCCUAUAAUUAUUUUCCUAAACAAGCCCCCUAAACUUGUAAUGUCACUCUUUGCUUACAAGCAGGAAGAAGAAGAGGAAAGGUCGGACAGGUGGAGCAAUUUCUUGGAAGAUCAUGCAGAAUCGACUGAGUCGCCUGCAAACGGAUCAUCUGAUAAUAGUCAUGCACUGUCUGGUGAAAGUGAGGUUUUAAAAGAAGAUCUGCAUAAGGAUAAGUUGGGUUCUGUUCCCGAUAAUGCAAGUGAAGAAGAAGGACGCCCCGAUUCAGAGAAGACUCUUCACAGAGUGCAAUUAUGGACUGAGGUCAGACCAUCUCUUCGAUCAAUUGAAGAAUUGAUGAGUAUCCGUGUCAAGAAGAAGGGGGAUUUAUCAAAAGGCGAGCAAGAGGCUCCAAAGGUGAAAUCCUCACCCUCAUUUGAUGAUGCCAAAUCUUCCAAGGGAGCAUCUGAGAAUGAUUCUGAAGACGAGUUCUAUGAUGUUGAGAGGUCGGAUGUUCACGAUGGUUCUUCUUCAGAUGGUACAAGUGUAUCUGGCAUCCCUGUUGCCGGUGAUGCAACUUUUCCAAUGUCUACAUGUCCCUGGAAGGAAGAACUUGAAGUGCUUAUUCGAGGUGGUGUUCCUAUGGCUCUGAGGGGGGAGGUAAAGAUUCUUCUCAUGCCUACAGUGCUACCUUGUCUUUCUAUUUUAUAUCAUGCUCUAGCUUUUCCAUCUAUAGUUCGAUAUCCUUAUCUCUUUUACUUCUAUCAACAACAUUUCAGCUAUGGCAAGCAUUUGUGGGUGUGAGGAAACGACGCAGCAAAGAUUAUUACCAAAACCUUCUUGCUGCUGAUAGUUGUGGAAACAGCAUAGAUCAGGAGGAUACGCAGCAUGUUGAUGAUAAAGGCUCGAAUGCAGAAGCCCUUGCUGCCGUAGAAAAAUGGAAAGGACAGAUAGAAAAGGUGGUACUCUAAAAUUUAUUCAGCAUUGACCCUCACUAUCUAGUGGUGCAGUGUUGGAUUAUGCUGAAAUUGAUCAGAGUUCUUACGCCGUUGCUUAUAUCAAGUACAGGACUUGCCUCGGACAUUUCCAGGUCAUCCUGCCCUGGAUGAUGAUGGUAGAAAUGCUCUCCGGCGUUUGCUUACUGCUUAUGCUAGGCAUAAUCCUUCUGUUGGGUACUGUCAGGUAUUUGUUCUUAACCAAUAUCAAUUGGUUCUUAACCAAUAUCAUAAUUCUUUUUUUUAGUACCGAGACAUGGUAAAUUAAGAUUAAUAUCUUGUCUAUAUAUACCAUCUGCAGGCUAUGAAUUUCUUUGCUGCGCUUUUAUUGCUUUUGAUGCCCGAAGAGAAUGCCUUUUGGUAUGUUCCCAAACUAGAUGAAUCUAUCAUCUCCAAGUCCUAAUAUUGUUUUUCCGUGAAUAUCGAACUCCUUGGCUCUGUGUUUAGUUUUUAUAUCUAUCACUUUCAUUUUCUUCUGGUUGAAUUAACUGUUGUUAGGCUUCCUUAUUUCUCCUCUUUUAUCUAAACCGACGUCCUUGCUAACUAAAUUCUUAUGAUUUUUAGGGCACUGACAGGAAUCAUUGAUGAUUACUUCAAUGGUUAUUAUUCAGAAGAAAUGAUUGAGUCCCAGGUGAUCAUAUGAGUUGCCUGUCUAUACAUUUGCACAGAUUUUAGGGCAGACAGGUGAUAUGACAUCUUUUCUACCAAAAAUUCUGUUUGUUAAUGUUACUGUAUCUUGUAUUCCUAAUUUCAGGUCGAUCAACUAGUUCUGGAAGAGUUAGUUCGAGAAAGAUUUCCUAAAUUGGGUUAGUACAUUCACAGAUUUCUUGUUCAUCUUACCAAAACGCUCACAGUUAGCUCUAAUGCUCUGCAUUUUUUUGUAAUGUCUACAGUUCAUCAUCUGGAUUAUCUUGGAGUGCAAGUGGCUUGGGUUACAGGGCCAUGGUUUCUUUCCAUCUUCAUGAAUAUGCUUCCAUGGGAAAGUGGUCAGGUUUUAAACAUUGGAGUUAAAGCUUUCUUGUUUAAAAUUGGGAACUGAGUAACUAACAAUUUGUAAUGACAAUCUGUUUAUAUUUGAUCAUCUUUCUCUUUAAAUUUUGGGACUGAGAACCCAUUUUCUUUCUAAAUGUUCGGCUACUUGAUUACAGUUCUUAGAGUCUGGGAUGUGCUUCUCUUUGAAGGAAAUCGUGUUAUGCUUUUCAGAACGGCACUCGCAUUGAUGGAACUAUAUGGUACUUGAUUAAAACUAGCAGACUUUCAAUUUAAGUGAUAUGUUUUGUGGACCUCCUGAAUGCAGCAGUGUCAUCAUCGAGACUGCCCUAACUUGUGCUUUAAUUCACCUCAGGUCCUGCAUUAGUUACAACAAAGGAUGCUGGAGACGCUGUUACUUUGCUACAAUCAUUGACUGGAUCAACAUUUGAUAGUAGCCAACUCGUUUUAACUGCUUGCAUGGGUUACCAAAAUGUACAAGAAAUUAGAUUGCAAGAGUUGCGAAGCAAGCAUAGGCCAGCGGUGAUAGCUGCCCUUGAGGAAAGAUCAAAGGGGCUUCAAGCUUUUAGGGAUUCUAAGGGCCUUGCCUCCAAAUUAUAUAGUUUUAAGCAAGACCCAAAAUCUGUUUUGGUGGAUUCGGGCAAAGCCUCAUUGACAAAUGGGAGUUUGUCUCGAUCCGAGUCAGGAUCAAGUAAUGCAGAUGAAGUGUUAGUUAGCCUAACUGGGGAUGGAGAGGUAGAUUCUGUUCAAGAUCUUCAAGCGCAGGUAAUUUUUCUCGUCCUUUCUGGUGGCUUGGAGAUGUUCCCCUUAGUACACUUGAAUACUAGAUAAUUAUAUCUCGUGAAAAGGUAGAAAAGAUCACUUGACACCUACAGUCAUGGUGCCCUUCUGAAAGUUGACUGAUCACUUCUCCAGGUUUUGUGGUUGAAGGCUGAAGUUUGCAAGUUGCUUGAAGAGAAAAGAUCAGCUCUUCUUAGGUUAGUCUAUUUGCUCAAAUAUAUAAGUGGAUACUAAACGUUGUGAACUUUAUGUCUCCUCGUUAUUCCUCAAUAUGUGAUGUAUCCCGAUCUUCCUAUUUUAUGGUAGAGCUGAAGAGUUGGAGAUUGCUCUCAUGGAGAUCGUCAAGCAAGACAAUCGGCGUCAAUUGAGUGCCAAGGUAUUCCCAUAACCUUGCCAUUUGACAGUUCGUUUCCCAGUUAAGCAUAUUAACUCGCAUUAUGUUAUUUGUUUCUUCAUCCAUCUUCUGAACACGAACACUACUUUCUCAAUCACUUGUGAAUACCAUCUCUAUGCUGAUCGAAUUCGAAGGCUCAUCCGUGAUAUGUUAGUUUGAGAGUCAUAAGAUGUCAAAUGCUGCUUGUUAUGAAUGUGAACAUCAGGUGGAGGAGUUAGAGCAAGAGAUAGCCGAAGUUCAGAGACUGCUCUCUGAUAAGCAGGAACAAGAAGGUGCAAUGCUACAGGUUUGAAUUUGCAUAGCCAAUUUGUUUUUUUUUUUUUUUUAUCGCUGAUACAUUUGCUGAGAUGAGUUGAUACUUAUGAAGGUCCUGAUGCGGGUGGAGCAAGAGCAGAAGGUAACAGAAGAUGCACGAAGAUUUGCUGAGCAGGAUGCAGCAGCGCAGAGGUAUGCUGCUCAAGUCUUGCAGGUAAAAGAGUUCGCACUGACUCCUACUUACACAAAUGUGGCUUGGCUAUUAAGUUUUACUGUCUCUGGUUAUAGCUGUGACACGCCUCUCAUGGAGUAGAGUUACACAUUAGUUUUUUGGAAAAUAAUCUACAGUAUAUUAUCCGUAUUAACACUUGUCUGUAUGUUUCAAAUGUUACACUAUUUCGUCUUCUGUUUUUUUUUUUUUUUUUUUUGGGGGUCUCUUCCUCCUAUUAUCUUAGAUAAACAAAAAUUAAUUGGUCUAGGAAAAAUAUGAGGAAGCUGUUGCUGCACUCGCUGAGAUGGAGAAGAGAGCGGUGAUGGCAGAGUCCAUGCUUGAAGCGACUUUGCAGUAUCAAUCUGGCCAACUGAAAGCACAGCCUUCACCACGGUGUGUUCUUUUUUACCUGAGACAAACAAAUUGUGUACAUAACUAUUAACAUUCGAUGCGUUUAUGACUCAUGACCUGUAUGUUAAAUUGGGGUAUACACAUAUAUAUAGGCAGCUGAACCAAGAUUCAUCUGCCAAAAACAUCAAUGAUCAGUUACCAGAACCUCCUCAAAGCAGGAUCAGUUUGCUAGCACGUCCAUUUGGACUAGGGUGGCGCGACAAGAACAAGGUUAGUCUUCUUCUUACACCUCAAUAUUUUUUUGUUCAAAACCAAAAACAUUUUCUUCAGUUAACGCACCUUCCUCAUCAUAUACGAGCUGAAAUCAAGUAGUGUCAUUUAACAAAGUCACUAACCCGCGAUUUGCAGAACACAGCACCUGAAAAAACUGUUGAGCAUGUUGUUAAUGAGGAGAAGCCAUCAGCAGAGGAAAAAGAGACCGACUCUGAACCAAAAGACGCUAAACUCCAAGACACUUCCUAGAGUAUAAGUAGUAAUCCUUGUAGCUCUCUUUUCCACUAAAUCUUCAAAUACUAGUAGGUAAAAUUCUCCUACGUUUAGCCUCAAUAGCGUCUCAGUCACCUUUUAUUAAUUUGGAAUGAAGUUUUGGACAUAACUUUUCAAAUAUAUUCAUUUGGUUGUUGGUUUGGUAAGCAUAUAAAAAAUAAUGAGUUUUGAGGAGGUGAGAUAUAUAAGUCAUGAAUGGUGUAUACUGUAUAGUAUAAUUUGAUGUGUUAUCAAACUAGUAGUAUUCUCCAGAUUCCACAGAUUUAUCAUUAAUGAUCAAAUGGUUGAGCAUUUUGUGCUCCGUAAUGCUGAUUUCUUCAAAAACAUUCGUGCGACAAUCAGCUAACCUCACAAAAAUGUAAGUCAAUUACAGCUUCGAGACAAAAGAAAGAAGAAAAGAACCAAUUUCAUCAAAUAAACCAAAACUGGAUUAACCAAAACCGGCAAGGUAACAAAAAUGGAUUAAAACUUCGGAAACAAGAGGGUUCUAUUUCUCUCAUACAAACUUAAAACACAAUUUCGCAUGGUCCUAUUAAAAACAAACAUAUUCUAAUGAUAGCUUACGCCUUCACCAUUUAUAACCUCUCCAAUGCGAUACGCAACAUAGUCUCCAUUAUUGGCUUCUCCAAGUAUUCUCGAUGCUGCCUCUGGGCUAACAACCAACACCAUCCCUAUUCCCAGGUUAAACGUCCUUCGCAUUUCACUGUCUUCUAUAUUCCCAGACUGUAUAAUAACAACCAAAAACAAUCAAAACACUUGAAGUAUAACACAUACGUAAAGUGUAUCUUGAAUGAUUAUCUGAUUGUCUCAUAUCAUUCAUUACCUGUUGGAUCCAUUUGAACAAUGGUGGAAGUUCCCAUGCAUCGGUGUGAAUAACAGCACCCAAUCCAUCAGGGAAGACUCUGGGAAUGUUGUCUGUGAAACCUCCACCUGUUAUAUGAGCUAUCCCUUUCACUCCUCCUUUACUGAUUAUGUCAAGUACCUGCGGAUAGAGAGAAAGAGAUAGUGUCAUGGACUUAAUUAACAAAUGUGAUGGAAUUUGUUUCUUGUUGACAAGAAAAGAAACCUGUUUCACAUAAAUGAUAGUGGGUGCCAUUAAAGCUUCACCAAGAGUAGUUGAUCCACCUGGAAGCUCAUCUUUCAGCGAAAGACCGCUUCGAGCCACGACCCUGCAACGAUUGUGGUCUUUUAGUUUUAUUCAAUGAAUAUAGUCAAUAGUUUAGUGUCAUAUCUUCCACUAACUUACUUUCUUACUAAAGAAAAACCAUUGGAAUGAACGCCACUAGAAGGGAGGCCAAUAAGAACAUCUCCAGCCACUAUGUUCUUCCCGUUUAUAACAGAUUCUUUCUUCACUAUGCCUACUGCAAACCCACUUAGAUCAUACUCACCUUCUGCAUAGAAGUCAGGCAUCUCUGCAGUCUAAAAACAACCGAAACAAGAUUAUGGAACAAUGCAGCAGUCUUAAAAGCUAGGAAUUGGGUUUAACUCUAAAACAUACCUCUCCACCUAAAAGAGCACAGCCUGACUGCUCACAACCAUCGACAAUACCUUUAAUAACCUGAGAAAGAAAAGCACAAUGUUACGUUCUACAUCAAUAUCAUGUACUAGAGCAAGACCGAAGUGGGAAGAGAUGAAACAAAUUAGACACCUUUUCUGCAAGGUCUACAUCAAGACGACUAGUAGCAAAGUAAUCUAGGAAAAACAGAGGCUUAGCACCAGAAGUAACAAUAUCAUUCACACUCAUAGCGACCUGAAACAAGAACAAAAACGAUGAGUGUCUUUUGUAGGCGAGCAUUAAUAGAGUCACAAAGGACAGAUUUUUUGUGUUACCAAGUCGAUUCCAAUGGUGUGAUGAAUUCCAGUCUCGAAAGCCAACUUAAGUUUAGUCCCUACACCAUCCGUACCAGCUACGAGAAAAGAAUCACCUUCACUCAAACAAAGCCACACAGCUCAGUGAUUAGUAUAAGAGUAAUCCAAACCAUGGAAAUUAUAAAAAAAAACGAAACUUUUCAACAUAUUAAAGGUGAAAUUUUGCAGUAUACAUUACCUAGUGGAAAGAGACCACCGAAACCGCCGAUUCCAGGAGCCAUCUUGGCGAUUCGUUUAACGAGCUCAGUUCCAGCAUCGAUAUCAACACCAGAAUCUUUGUAAUUGAGACUCUCGGCGUCGUCGUCUUUUUUAGACAUGGAUAAAACACAGGGAGCCCUUGUCCUUGUUCUCGGCGUCUGAGGAAAGCUGAUGGAGAGAGGUUUCGGCGACGAUGUAACGGAGGAGAAACGGUAUCGAUUGAUGGAACCGGAGGAGAAGGAAGUGUCGAGGGACGAGAAGCAGCGAGAAGAUGACUGCAAAAUCCGAGCUUCCAUGGCUUAAACAGUAAUAAUACAACAAGAGUAGAGUAAUUAACACAGGUCAAGUGAACAAGAUAAGUAACAGAGAGGAAUCAGCAAUGAAAAGAAGAGAGAAUUCGACAAGGUUUAAAGAAAAGGAAGAGUAAAGAGAGAAAAGAGUUACCUGAGAGAGGCUGAGAUUGAGACUUAAGUGAGUCUGAGGCGACGCCGAGAAGGGACUGAGCAAGACUUUGUGUCCGAGCGAGAGUAAAAUGAGAGUGAGAGAGAGGAAGCCUAAAAUAAAUUAAAACAAAAAAAAGGUUUUAAACCCUAAUAACACCACCUAAUUACUUGUUUUUUUCGUUUUCUAUUUCUUUUUUGGUUUUUUAUCUUACACGAUAAACACCCUGAACAGUGCCGACCAAAAAAAAAAAAAAACACCCUGAACAGCAACUACUAGAAUCUAUCAUCAAAAAAUAAAAACUACUUAGAAUGACACUAAUCUUAACUAAAGAAAAAGAAAAAGGUCCAUAUUUCAACUAAAACAUGUUUCCUUUAAUUAUAGUUGGAUCCACCAUCUUCAUAGUUUUUUUAUAGAAGAAAGCUUUGGAGCGGUUAUUUAAUCAAAAAUCGUAACACUGGGACAUUUUUAUUCUCUUGAAGCGUAGAUAGCAUUAGCUUUUUUUUGGUAUAUAAUCUUUACUUCCAUUUCCAAUCGCUUUCUCAAUCAACUUCUUUUGCAAGACAAACAAACAAACAAAAAGGCUAGGAAACACCAGUUGCAACAUUUUAAAACAAUAAUAAAUAAAGAAACACACACAGUCAUACAUAUAUAAAUAUUAUCAACGUACUAAUUCACAUCAAAAGCCUUUUAUCCAUCUUUUCCUUCUUCUUCUACUUCUUCACUUGUUCCAUUCCUAAAAUCACAACCAAACCAAUCGAACACAUUAUCACAACUUUGUUUUCUUGGAUUCAAUCCAAAACUUGUAAAGAUACAUGAUAUACGAAGAGCCUUGAAGCUUACCUCCACGUUGAUGUUAGGUUCUGAGUUUUUCCUGUCGAGUUGCAGAUUUUCCAGCGCCUCUGAAGCUUCCAUUACAUCUUCCUUCGCAUCUUCACUGUCAUAUCUCCAACUUUGUUCGCCUUCUCUUCGGUCUGAACAACCUCAUUUAAAUAUUUCAGAUAUCAUGAAACAGAGAUAAUCAAUUCAGUAAAAAUUAGAUUGGGAAAUGAUGACUCACCUGAUGCUUGAGAUGCAGAAAUAGACCUGCACAUUAAUUUAGUGAUAAGUAAAUCAAAGCACGUCAGACUCAGAAUCAACAUGAAAGAGUAAAGAUACUUGGAUUUGGCAUAACAUGGUGUUAGAGAUAUCAUGUAUACCUUCGUUGAGGAGGUAAGCUAUCAGAAGCAGAUGAUCUGCGAGGAGGAUUUCUGGACUCAUGGCUUGAUGAGGACUCGUUUUCUGACUCCCUCCUUGAACUACCACCCAUGGCCUGUGUUAUGUUCUGAGAUUCAAUAACCAAAUAUAGGUAGAUCAUCACUAACUACGCCUGAGGAGAAUACAGCAAGACAAAUGAUAAUGGUUUUACUAUGAAAGGAUGUGAAGAGAACUUUAGGCUUAGAAUUCACCAAACUUGUUUCUGAAAUCUCUGAAGAAUUCUAAUCUCGAACUAAGACACUCUAUUUACUUACAAAGUACCAAGAUUCUCUGUAAGUUAGCGUUUAUAAAGCCUGCAUGUAACCAACAUGCAUUUGCUCAUCUUCACUUACAGAAUAGGAACUGAAACAACGUACUAGAUGGUGGACUAUUGCAAUUUAUUUCAAGUAUCGUUGUAAAGCUUGUAUAAUUCAGUUGUCCUCUAAACUGGAGACAUCUUCACAGGGUAAGAUAGGAAGAAAGAAGUACCUCGAACCCUUCAAGAACAUCCAGAAGGAGUGGGCCACUAUCUCCACUUCUGUUGAGCUCAUAGCCAUUGUUGCUACUAAAGUCGCGUAUCUCAGACUUCCAAGAAUCUUUUGGCUUUGCAUAGGUUUUCAGGCGGAAUGUAGAUCACCAUAUCAGUGAGAAAAGUUCAUCUACAAUUCUCUAAAUGAAAGAUGUAAAAAAUAGUCCAAAGAAAAGGAGUUCCAAUUGAAUACCAAAUUGCAUUCUGGUUGAUAAACUUUGAGCGUAUGAUUUAGUUGCGCCCAGUCCAAGUAUUCACAAAUCAAUGCAGAUAGCAACCUGCCUGCAUUUCAACAUUUUUAAAGGUGAGCAAGAUGACCCUACUCAACUAUACAUAAUAACCUCAAUGUUCAUAUUUCGUAAACAAAGAAGCAAGCAAAGUUUCGGCCUUGACGCGAUAUCAUCCUGACAAAAUAUGGCAGGUCUAAGAGCCAAAGUCUCCAAACCAAGACAUGCCAUUUAGAUCAGAAUCAUGCAUGAAGGAUGAAAGUGAGCAGGAUAAAACAUGAGAAAGACCUUUAGGAGAAGCAUGAAGCUGCCUUGCACGAUCAUUGCAGCUUCCCAACAAAGCUGGAGGAAGCCCUUCGUUGUUCUCGAUCACUCGAUCCUCUUCUUCUAUUGCCUCAAACACACUCGCACGGAGCUCAGCCUGCACAGCAACCGAACUUAUCAGCUGAAAUAAUAAACUCCAGAACAAUGCAAAAGAUUACAAUUUGCAUUCACAUUUAAGGAAAUUGAUAAACGAGAAGACCUAAUUACUAAAAUACGAAGUAAUUUGGAAUCAACAACUGAAGUUAUCGACAUUAAAGGCUACAACUUUUUGACAGACUCAGAUUCCAGAUGCAUAAGUAAAAUUAAAAUCAUCGAAAUUCUGCAGAUAUUUGAACAAUUAGCCAAGGAUCUGGAAUCAGGAACCCUAGACAAGUUUUUAUUUUUUUUUAACUCAACAGAGGAGCUAAUGGAAAGCGAGCGAGUAAUGUAUGAAUCGCAGGAACAAGACGAGAAAAAAAAGUUUACCCGGAUCUUAGCGAGAACACCUUUCUUCUCAAGGGUUCGAGUGACCAAAGUCUUGAGAUCCAUCAUCUCUCUAGUAUAAUCGUCCAUUACAGAUUCCUGCUGAUGCAAUCUCGGCUUUUGGUCACCGGAAAAUUGUGACAAUGCUUCUCGGAGAGAAGAAGUCGUUUGAAAACUCGAAAUAAAAAAAAUAUUCAAAAAAAUUUAUUCUACCAUUUUUUUCCUUUCUAAAACAAAAUGUAGAGUUGAUUCUUCUACUGAAUAUUGUAUUACUAAACAAACAAAGUUAAAAAGUUUAAAAAAAUGAUAUGGUUUCGAUCUUUCUAAAGAUACAUUUACACAUUGGUUCUUCCUUUGAUUCUUGUUUGUGAAAUGAAAUCCUCUCUUCUCAAAACAUCUCAGAACGAAACAUUAACCAUUCAAUGUCUUUUUUGGGAACAACUUGUUAAAAGAGACGGAGAUGUUUGUCGAAAACAUAAUAAAAACGCAGUUGCAGAUAUGGAACAUACAUAUAUCACACGUACACAGAACCAUAAACAAACUAAUCCAGAAGCUGCAUCUUAUCAGAAUUCUAAAUCAAUCAAUCCCUCCCUUCUUCUUCACUUGCUCCAUCCCUCGCAUUCCUGCAACACAAAACAAUCCAAUGGAUCAGAUUACCCCACAUCUUACUUCUUUCUUUUGUCUUUCAUUUGUUUUCAUUUCAACAUGAACACAGGCAAAGGCUUUACCUCCAAGAAGAUGUUAAGUUCCGAGUUUUCCUAUCCAGCUGAAGAUUUUCUAGCGCCGCUGAUGCUCUCAUUACCUCUUCAUGCGCAUCUUGGUUGCUCUGUCUCCAAUUGAAUUCAUCUUUUUUGUACCCAGAAGUAGACAACCCGGCUCUUCUAUCUGAAACCAAACAAAAAAAAAAAAAAACACAUUGACUUAUUCGGUAUCAACUCAAGUAUCAUGACGAAUCUUCCAAGAAAAUAGGGGAAUAAUGGAUGACUCACCCGAUCCUUGGGAUGCAGAACCCGGCCUGCCCAUUAAUCAAACACGAAAUGUCUUACUCAGAUAGGCAACAUUAAAAGAGUAAUCUUUGAUUUGUGGCGUUAAAAUGGUGUUGGAGAUGUGUGUACCUUCGUAGAGGAGGUAAGCUAUCAGAAGCAGAUGAUCUGCGAGGAGGAUUUCUUGAGUCAAGGCUUGAUGAGGACUCUGUUUCUGACUCUCUCCUUGAAUUACCACCCAUGGUCUGUGGCAUGCUCUAAAAACAAAAUGUUGAUCACUAACAUGAUCCUUUGAUGAGAGUAGAGAAACCGAGGCUUGGACUUGUUUCUCAAACCUCUCAAGACAUUUAAUCUUGAACUAAGACACCUAAAAAGAGUUAUAUACUUGAAAAGGUUGCGAGGUGUUUGCUACAAAGUACAAGUUUAAGCUUUUCUAUAGGUUGGUGUUUGUAAAGCUUGAAUGUCACUAACAGAAAAGAAACUGAAUGGACUAUUGUACAUUUUAAUACAAAUUGCUAGUAUAGGUUAUUAGUUUGUGAAAUUGACUCCCUUCUUCUCUGUCAACAUCUUCACAGGGAACAAAGUGAAAGAUACCUGGAACUUCAAGAAUCCUUCAAGAACAUCGAGAAGGAGCGGUGCGCUUUCUCCAUUUCUGUUGAGCUCAUAACCAUGGUUGCUACAAAAGUUGCCUAAUUCAGACUUCCAAGAGUCUUUUUGCUGCGCAUAGGUAACAAUGCCGAUGACCAGAUUAGUAAGGUUGCAAGGUUUUCAGGUUCAUCUACAAUCUACAGAACGAGACAAACAAAAAGAGAAGGAAAUACUUGAUUACCAAAUUACAUUCGGGUUGAUACACUUUUAGCGUGUGAUUAAGUUGCGCCCAGUCCAAGUAUUCACAAAUUAACGCAGAUAGCAACCUGCCUGCAAUUCAUUCAACAGUUCAAAGUGAGGACCUACUCAACUGAAAAAUCUCAACUUCCAUAUGCCAAAUAACCUAGACUCAUGGAGAAAGCACAAAGAAGAUAAAAACAGAGAGAAAUGAUGCAUAGACUACACAGCAGCCUUAAAGGUUUGGGAAAAGAAAAGAAUCGAAAGCACAUAAACCGAUCCGAAUGAUCAAAACCAAGAGAGACAAAGCAAGAACUUGAGAAAGACCUGAUGGCAAAGCAUGAAGCCGCCUCGCACCAUCAUUGCAGCUUCCCAACAGAGCUGGAGGAAGCCCUUCGUUGUUUUCUAUCACUCGAUCCUCUUCUUCGAUUGCUUCAAACACACUCGCACGGAGCUCAGCCUGCAGAGCAAGUGUACUAUCAGCUCCUCUCAUACGAAAAGUAAGCAAUUCAAAUUCAGAUUACACUUUGCAUCGAUAAAUGAACAGACCUAAUCACUAGAUUACGCUUGGAAUCAGCAUGACUUUUAUCGAAAAUUCUUAGAUAUGCAUAUGUAAACAACAUUACUCAGAUAUUCAAUCGACGAAACAAGGAUCUGAACCCAUAAACCCUUAAAAAAAAGUAAAAUUAAGUUCUUUCUCUGAACUGAAAGGCCGAAACUUGGAAAUUGAAUCUCCGGUUCCAUUUCCAAACAAAUCUAUGCGAAUUACAAAGCGACUUCGUAAUAUAUAUAAGGAAUCGGCUAAGAGACAACGAAACAUAACAAAAUAGUUACCCGGAUCUUAGCGAGAACACCCUUCUUCUCUAGGGUUCGAGUGACUAAGGUCUUGAGAUCCAUCAUCUCUCUAGUAUAAUCAUCCAUUGUUCAACCACUAAAUCAAAAUCAAAGUAUGAAAAAUUGGAUUUUUGAGAAAAUGGGGUUUCUAUGUUGUGGAGAAUUUGAAGAUUGGUGUUGCGCCAAGCCGGAGUGGCCCGAUUUUUAGCCAAAAUGAGAGAAAGACGUUGAAAAAAAAAAAAAAAAGCACAGACACACAUACACACACAUUUUGCAGGCAUUUAUUUUACUUUCUAAAAAAAAAAAAUAUUCCACAAAAGAUCGACUUUUCCAUUCUUGUCCGAAAUUUCAAAAUCUUGAGAUAUUGCCCCCAAAUAAUGUGGAUUUUAUUAAGGGAAAAAACUCAGAUCUUAUUAUUUCCACGAGCAGUGUAUAUAUACAUUACAUAACUAAUAUAUCAGAAACCUUAAUGGGCCAUGAGACAUUAACCUGAUGGUUAAUGGGCUGGUUACUAGAAGUCCAUUUGUUUAUAACACUCCCCCUUGGACAAGGUAACCAUGCCUGUCACAAAACCGGGAUCUUUAUAAUGCGCUGGGGAACGUUGCCUCAUUAAAACCUUACCAAGAAACCCCAGUGGGAAAAACCAUGGUGAAAGAAAAAGAGUACAACACGCAUUACUCCCCCUGGUUUAGGCAUCACUCUAGAUCUCUAAGUCUACGCAUUCCUAUCUGAUGAAUGAGCUUCCGGAGUGUAGAAGUCGGUAAUGAUUUAGUGAAUAGAUCGGCUGAAUUUUCGCUUGAUCGAACUUGCUGAACCUUGACCUGACCAUCCUUCUGCAGCUCAUGAGUGAAGAAGAAUUUGGGCAGAAUAUGCUUCGUCCGGUCACCUUUGAUGUAGCCGUCCUUGAGUUGAGCGAUACAAGCUGCAUUGUCUUCAUACAUCACCGUAGGCUCCUUAUCUUCGUCCAUACCACACUCUGAUCGGAUAUGCUGAGUCAUGGACCGCAACCAAACACACUCUCUACUAGCUUCGUGGAUGGCCAAGAUUUCCGCAUGGUUGGAUGAGGUAGCGGCAAUAGUCUGCUUCAUGGAUCUCCAAGAUAUGGCUGUUCCUCCAUGCGUGAAAACAUAACCGGUUUGAGACCGGACACAGUGCGGAUCUGACAAAUAUCCUGCAUCAGCAAAACCAACUAGACCAUCCUUGUUAUGGUUAGAAUAAAAUAAUCCCAAGUCCUUAGUACCUUGAAGGUAUCUAAGGAUGUGCUUAAUACCGUUCCAGUGCCUUUGAGUUGGACACGAACUAAAGCGAGCUAAGAGGCUCACGGCAAAGCAGAUGUCUGGUCUAGUGUGACUAGCCAGGUACAUUAAUGCUCCUAUGGCACUGAGGUAUGACAUUUCAGGACCGAGGAUUUCUUCAUCGUCCUUCUUUGGACCGAAUGGAUCACUAUCCAAUCCAAGGCUCCUCACAACCAUUGGGCUGGUCAAUGGGUGGGCCUGGUCCAUAUUGAAUCUCUUGAGUACCUUUUCAGUGUAUGCCAAUUGAUGCACAAGGAUUCCGUCAUUGAUGUACUCAAGUUGUAAUCCCAAACAGAAUUUAGUUUUGCCUAGGUCUUUCAUUUCAAACUCUGCUUUUAAGCAUUCAACUGUUUGGGCGAUUUCACCAGAUGUUCCGAGGAUGUUCAAGUCAUCCACGUAUACUGCUAUGAUUACAAAUCCUUUGUUUUGAUAUUUUCUGAUGAAGAUGCAUGGACUGAUCGGAUCGUUUUCGUAGCCUUCUCUGAUGAGAUAUUCGCUUAACCGGUUAUACCACAUACGUCCGCUUUGUUUCAGUCCAUAUAAGGAUUUGUUCAGCCUAAUGCAGUGUUUAUCACGAGAUGCAUGCUUAUCUUUGAGCUCAAUACCAUCUGGUAAUCUCAUAUAGAUUUCACUGUCCAGUGGUCCAUAAAGAUAUGCGGUUACAACAUCCAUUAACCGCAAAUCUAAGUUUUCUCUUAUGGCUAGACUUAUGAGGAAUCGAAAUGUAGUUGCAUCCACCACUGGAGAAUAAGUCUUCUCAUAAUCGAUUCCGGGUCUCUGUGAGAAUCCUUGUGCUAUAAGGCGUGCCUUGUAUCUAACGACUUCGCCGAGUUCGUUUCUUUUACGCACAAAGACCCAUUUGUUUCCCACUGGUUUAACAUCGAAUGAUGUCCUUAAGAUCGGACCAAACACAUUUCGUUUCUUUAAACUAUUCAACUCCACGUUUAUGGCUUAUUUCCAUUUCAGCCAAUCUGAUCUACGAGUGCACUCAAUUAUAGACGUGGGUUCUAGAUCCUCUUGCGUGUGCGCAAUCUCAAGUGCUACCUUGUAUGCAAAAGUUUUAUUGAUGUCGACAUCUUUUCUGUUCCAUAGAGAACCGAAUAUGAUAUAAUUGAUUGAGAUCUCAUUAUUAUCAAUCCCUUCAGAACCUUGAGUUUUGGCGUCCCAAACCUCUUGAGAUGGUUCGAUAGGGUAAGUAUCAGCUGAGGCUGUAUCCGUGUUCUCUUGAAUCCCGGUUUCAAUCAUUGCACCUUUCUUUGAUUUCCGGGGAUUCUUAUCUUUGGAACCUGGUGGUCUGCCACGUUUCUUACGUGCGUCAGACUCUGUAGCAACUUGACUUUUCCCUGAGGGGACAUCUAUUCGUACUGGUGCAUUACAAGCUGGUAUGUACGAUUUGGUAACUUUGUUCGGGUCAGCAAAGGAAUCUGGCAAUUGAUUAGCUAGCUUUUGUAAAUGUAUAAUUCUUUGGACCUCUGAAUCACAUUCUAGAGUCCGAGGAUCUUGCCAUUGUGUGGAUGUUUGAUUCCAUGAAAGUUCUUUUACCAGCUUGUCUGUCUCACCACCUAAUCUAGGAUAUACCGAUUCAUCAAAUCGGCAAUCUGCAUAUCUGACUUUAAACAGAUCUCCUGUAGUUGGCUCGAGAUAUUUUAUGAUGGUGGGAGAGUCAAAACCAACAUAUAUUCCCAUCCUCCUUUGAGGUCCCAUUUUAGUCCUCUGUGGUGGUGCAAUGGGUACAUAGACUGAACACCCAAAUGUUUUAAUAUGGGAGACGUCUGGCUCAUGACCCGUUAGCAAUUGGGAUGGUGAAUAUUUGUGCUUACUAGAUGGUCGUAUGCGUAUUAGUUCAGCGGCAUGUAAGACUGCGUGUCCCCAAGCUGAGACCGGGAGUUGUGACCUCAUGAGUAAUGGUCUAGCAACCCAUUGAAUUCGUUUAAUGAAGGAUUCAGCUAAUCCAUUUUGUGUAUAGACAUGUGGAACGGGAUGUUCAACACUUACUCCCAUGGACAUACAAUAUUCAUUAAACGCUUGGGAAGUGAAUUCACCAGCAUUAUCAAGACGUAUAGUCUUUAAUGGGAAGUCUGGAAAAUGGGCUCGUAAUCUGAUGAUUUGGGCCAAUAACCUAGCAAAAGCCUGGUUCCUAGAAGAGAGCAGACAGAUAUGCGACCAGCGGGUCGAUGCGUCAAUGAGGACCAUGAAAUAUCUGAAUGUCCCACAAGGUGGGUGAAUUGGUCCACAUAUGUCUCCUUGGAUUCUUUCCAGAAAGUUCAAGGUCUCUUUAGACACUUUGACUGGUGAAGGUCGGGUAAUCAGUUUCCCUUGUGAGCAAGCUGUGCACUUGAGGUGCUGAGGGAAAAUACCAUUUGGUUUAAGGCUGUGCCCUUUAGAAUUCUGGACUAAUUUACGCAUCAUGUUCGCACCGGGAUGACCCAGGCGAUCAUGCCAAAUAGUGUAAUCUAAAAACCGUGCUUUGAUAGCAGCAUUAGCCUCAAUCAUACUGACUUUAGCAUGGUAAAUGCCAGUAGAUACGGCGGGUAUAGUUUCAAAAACUUGUUUAUGGCCAUUUAUCAUUUUAGUGAUAGUUAAAAACUCUUUGUUCCCUUCAUCCUGAGUUUCGAUAUGGAAACCAUUCAAUCUUAUGUCUUUGAAACUCAAUAGGUUUCUCUUAGAACUGGGUGAGUAUAAGGCAUCAGAGAUGUCUAGAUAUGUGCCAUUUGAUAACAACACAUUAGCUUGGCCAUGGCCCUCUAUUAGGCUCGAACUACCCGCUAUAGUGCUAAUGUUUGCGGUUUUGAUUACUAAAUUUAUGAAGUAAUUCUUGUUUUUUAGAAUGGUGUGGCUCGAUCCACUAUCCACAAUGAUAUCCAUAUUGUCUUGCAUAUCUUUUCGCCAAAUGGAUUUCUGACCGGCUUAUGAUCUGGGAGCUAAAGACCACAGAUAUCUACUGGAAACUUCUGAGAAUGAUGGCCAGAAGGAAGGACGAACAGCUGCUACAAUGGAGGAACCACCGCUUGGAAAGAAUCACCCGCUAAGGUGGGACAGCGCCGAUUGUUUUGAGUCGUGAAGGCGCGUCUAGUGUCGGAUUGAGGAGCGGUUUUCACCACUAGAUUCUUCUCUUCCAGGGCUUCAAAAUGAUAUGUAGAUCUCCUUCUAACUCCUUGUAUUUUGAGAGAUAUGAUCGUUUGAAGUUGAGCUUUGUGCUGAUAACGUAUUAAGGGAAAAAACUCAGAUCUUAUUAUUUCCAUAAGCAGUGUAUAUAUACAUUACAUAACUAAUGUAUCAGAAACCCUAAUGGGCCAUGAGACAUUAACAUGAUGGUUAAUAGGCCGGUUACUAGAAGUCCAUUUGUUUAUAACAGAUUUUUCUUUCUUUAAGUAUUUUGAAACGAAUAUGGUAUUGCCCGACCCAACAUCACAUUUUACGAUCAAAAUUUGUGUGGCACUACAAGAAGAAGAGGUGGUCUCGAGAUAUAGUUGGAUUGUUGCAAAAGAAAUCACAACAAAUUUCCAUCUAGAUCAGCGAGAUGAUUACCAAUGGCAAGUUCAGUCCAAUUUAGCCAAAGCAUAUAUGACAAAAGAAUGUGUCGAUACUGACAUUUUGUAUUACCUACUGGUACACUUUUUCUGAAGAUGGAUUCACAAAAUAAUGUGUCGAUACUGACAUUUUUGUAUCAAUCAAACAGAUAUAUGAGGAAAGAGACGCAAGGGAAGAGAAUUUUGAGAUGUUGCAGCAGCUGCAAAAACGUGCUAAGGUUCAGCAGGAGAACACUAAUCGCUUUAGCAACGAUGACGUUUAAUGAGUCUUUGGAACAUUAAUAGUCAUGAAGGAGUAUGACUAUGGCGGCAGAUCAUUGAGAAAGACAUUUGAGUACGUAGGAAUAUUGCCUUUUUACUAAGACGGAUAUAAGGAAGCAUUAACCAGGUUUCAUUAGCAUUAACCAGGUAAAUAUCUUAUGAAAGCAUAUAAAUAUAUAACCAAACUUUUUUCUCUCUUUGGUGUGAAAAAGUCAAACUCUUUCUUAGACGUACGUAGGAUAUAUAAUAACCAAACUAAAUUAGCUGAACCAAACCAUAACCAUGUUUUUAGAAUCUCGUUUAGACAUUUUUCACAGAAAUCUUCAGAGCAACAACAAGAUCCUUAUAUAUGGGUACUCUCCCAAAGCUUUUAUUCACAUUUGAAUAUAUAUAUGCUUAUGUUCUUCUGUGUGUUGGGAUAUGAAUUCUAUACAUAUUUCCUCGUAGACUCAACUUUUUAAAUACCAUGUAUGUAGAUCAAAUCAAACCGUUGAUAAUGAGUCCCUUCUUGAGAGAAAAGUUUGCUUCAUGAAAAAAUCUUCUGAUCAUGAUAUAGUGCAAAAGCUCUGUUUUAAUUUAUUCCAUAACACUAGUGUGUUUUGUGCUCGGCAAAAGCUACGAUACGAUGAUGUUAUUAUAUACACACAUAUAUAUAUGUAUAUAUAUUAUAACCUCUUUCGUUUCCGUUCUUUUACUUUGCCUAAACAACCUAACGGUUAGUGUAUAUAAAAUUUUAAUUUUAUUACUUAGUCAUCUGAAAAAUAAUUUGCUAACUAAUACAACAACAAAAUCUGAAAAUAUUCGAAAUGACAAAGCAUGGAAAGUUAAAACAAAAGAAACAAAAUAAGCAUGUGGACUGCUUAAGACUUGUUGCUGAAAUCUUACCACCAGGAUGAUUUGAUUCAUAGUUUCCUUGUAGUGACCUAUUUUGGUUGUUCGCUAUCUUCAUAAAUUAAACAGGUGUAAAAUACGCUAAACGAAAUGUUGAAAAAAAUUGGUUGGUUUCUCAAUCCGUUUUGUUUGUUCGGGCGGUGUAAGAAAAGUCUUUGUCCGAGACAAUAAGGAAGCUAAAGCUGCCUUUAUGGUAUAUUGAUUAAGCAGCAGUUGUUUACUAUCUUUGACUUUAUCAAAACUAAGACUUCAAAUUUAUAAGAAAUUAUAACUACAAAUUGAUGAUGAAGUUAAACACUUUACUAUGAUAUUUUUGGAAAUAGUUACACAUAAGAAAAAAAAACAAUUCUCGCAUCUAGAACACUUCAUAAUUUUGGAAUGCAAGAAGAUAACACUGGGAAGUUUUUAAUAUAAUAAUCAAAACUUGAGUUGUUAAAUCAAAUCAAAAUUUUUGGUGAUAACAUACAGAUUAGAAGAGAGAAAAAUAAUACCUAGCUAAUUCUAUUCUGUAUUAUUUUUUGCUAUUUUAGUCUGAUGGUUGUGUCAUUCAAUUUAGAUAAAGACCGCACGGAUCGACUUAUGUGUGACACUCUAUACCAGAAACCAAAACACGGAAUACUAACACGAAUCAGAGUUGAACACAAAUGGUUAUAAUAAGCACAUGUUUAUCUCGAGAAGGGUUUUUUCGUCGGAUCAAUGAAAAUAAAAAGUGGGGACUCACAUUUUUAACUUCAUGCUUUUAGCUUUGGGCUUUCGGAAACGAGGAGGGAAAGCCACCACGUCGCCCAAAACUGUUGCGACAAUUACUAUAGUCUAUAGUCAUGUGCGUCAAACAUUAAACUGAAAACGUUAUGACCAAAAUUCAUUACUAUUUUUUUUUAUAUAAUAGAUUGACAACACCAUUAAUUAUCACAAUAUAUGGUUGAAUUGGAAUCCUCAAUUAUUUAACGUUAUAACGUGCUUCAUGCGUUUCCACUCGUUUCUCUAUUGCUCUGGUAUGGAUCUGUCUCUAACAAACUUCAUAUUUAUUUUCAUCUGAUCAAUCGUCUUCCAAGAUAUAUAUAUAUAUAUAUCUACUAUAUUCUAUAUAUACAUAAAUGAUAGAUCAUGAAUAAUAUGUGAUAGAACAAAAGUUUAUCAGGGUGAAUUGACAAAGUUCCUGUGUUAAUAAGCUGAAAGUUCAUUUUGAAAAAACAAAAUCUGUAUAAUCAUGUUUAUCCUAUCAUACUUUAAUGGUUUUAUAUACUUUUAAGGCCAUAUAAUCCUACAGAACACAUACAACUGAAUUUGUCUUUUUUUUAAGCCAACAUAAUAUGCUUUUUUGGUAUUGAAAUUUGAAAGUCACAAUCAUAGUGAAAGACUUUUCAGCCAAAAUAUCUAUAACUAAAAUUUUGCAGUAAGGGUUACAACACAAAAAAACCAAUUUUAAAGUUAGGUUACAAGAACCUAGAACUGUGUUGGUAAGACCGCAUAAAUUAGAAACACAGGUUCACGAGGUUUACAAAGAAAUUAACCACCAUCACCAGUACAAUUUUGGGGUUUUUUCAAGGCACUCAAAAGACAAUGGUAUAGACUUAUAGUGAACGAGUGGAUUCAAGAAACAAUAAUUAAAAAAAAAACAUUUUUAUUGUUAUUUUUUUAUAUAUGAUAAGAUUUAUUUUUUUAACAUUAUAUAAGUUAAUCCUAAGAAGAAUACCAUGAAAAGAAGCUAGAGCCGUAAAAAACAUUUCAAUUUUGGUAAGAGAUUAAACGUGGUGGGUGUUAAAGUGUAGAUGACUUCAAUAACCUCUGCAUAAAGAAUGUAAGAAAAACAGUUACUUUUUAUUUACCUAAUCUAGACUGAAUUUAUGUUGGAAAGAAUAAAUACCAAUGUUUAUUCUUACCAAAUAAGGAAAGGCCAGAUUCCUUAAAAACAAUCUAGCUCUUCUUGAAAAUCUGGAAAAUUGUACGGCUGAGAUUUGUAGACCAGCUUAUCAUCAAAUCAUAAUUAUUAAAUUAGAGAGAGAUUUGGAGUGAUUGGUGAGUGGUUGAAAAUGUGACAAUUGACGUAACCCCACUGUCCGUCUGUCUCUCCAUUAAGGUUUCUCUCUCUUACCCUCAAUACAUAAAGAUAUAGUAGUUGGCUUAUUGGACCCAUCCUUUAUUUGGGCCCCAAAACGUGUAAACAUCACACCCUCUCUCUUAUUCUUUUUUUUUUCUUCAUUGACUAUACACAUUUAUCAAAAAAAAAUAUAGUAUAGUUUAUGUUGUGGUCUGGAUUAUCUCUCUGUUCCUCCAAUGAUUUGGAAUAUAUGCAAUCUCAUUACGAAAAAUAAAAAAUUAUUGAAGAAGGAAUGUGAUCAUUUAUCUUAAAAUAUCUGUAAUAGUUUAUUUAUACUUGUUAACAAUUUUGUUUAUCAACUUCUAGGACAGACAAAUAACUUUCUUUUUUUUUGAAAGCUGGCAUACAAAUAUCUUAAGAUAUGAUUUUUAUUUCCGUGGCAUGGUGUAGAAACUCAAACGCGAGAAGAGAUACACAGGUAGCUAGAGAAGAAAUAAGAAGUUGAUCCACAACCUAUUUUCUCCUUAUUAUAGACCAACCACAACAAAAAAUCAAGUCUCUCAAUAAUUCUUCUGAUUCACUUCAGUUCUAAUUUUUAUUAGUUUUAUUUUUGUUAUAUUUGCAAAUUAAUUCAAAAGUAUAAGCUAAAUGAUUCUAUAAUAUAUAACUAUAUAAGAUAAGAAAUCCUUGUGUCAUCUCUAAUCCUUUACUAUGUUUACUUUUCUUUGCUAGGGAUUUUUAUAGUAGCUAGUAAUUAAUCUUUAGUUUCGAAGGCAAAGAGACAGUCAUUGGCAAAAGAAAGAUAGAAAAAGAUGGUCCUGAUUCUCUAAAUAGCGCAUAGAGAAACAAAAAUCACAUGUGCCUUUUAUAUUACACGUUGUAGAUAGUGCGACGAGAUCCAAGAACCCAAAGUACCGAAAAAAUCCCUGACCGUUAGAUUUUUGUCAUAUCUUGACACUUUGGAAUCAUAUUCACACGAGUGGGCCUAUCAAUAAUUGUUCUCGCUAGAUGCCAAAAUGAAAUGUAAUAAUUAGAAAGAAAAUGUAUAGAGAGUGACUUAAUUUAUAACUUAGGAACGAACGGUGACGGUAGUCUGUAGAUAAAGCAGAGUAUAACGUUAGCGAAGGUAUGUCUCAUAGCGUUAGCGAAGAAUUAGCGUCCGACAUAUUUGUUUAAAACAAAUGUUGUAAUCGUGUUAUCGAAAGUUGUUUUGUAGUCUAUAUGUAUAUAUCGCACGCAUACCAGCUUUGUUGUUGUUAUGGAAAAUCAAACACGCGUACGAACAUCAGUAUACCACGAUUUAUGUAGCUUAUGAAUCAACGACUGCAUACAUACAUUAAAAAAAAAAAAAAAAUCGCAUUAGAUGGUCAGAAAUUGGAAUAGGAUCUAGCUAGUAUAGUCUCUGGUUAAUAUUUAAUAUCCACUUACUCGAUUCUUAUUGCAUUAGAAUAGUUGAAGAAUUCAGUAAAUAGAUUUUCUCAUGUGAUUCUAAACUAACUACUAGAUAUAGUAUGUAUUACGAAUUGGCUAAUUCCUAAUAUUGCUAGUAGGAUAUCCUUUUACAAAACAUAUAUAUAUAUAGGAUGUUGAAAUUUUCAGAAAUUGACUUUUGUAUUACUUUUCUUUAUAACUGACGGGACGAUCAAUUUAUCUAUUAUAUAUAGGAUUUUUUUUCCUCUGUCGACAUUAGGGAUCGUGUAUAAACGUACACUUGGCAAUUAAGAAUAUGUUAUAUAAUCUUAUAGAUAAUUCUACAUUCGAGCAUGCAUCAACAAAAAAAAAACGGCAAUAAAAACUAUAAUGCUUGAAUUUUUUUAUAGAAAAACGUACAAACUACUCGUCAACCAGUCACAAUAUAAUGCAUUCUUUAAGUUUGACUUUGAGUUUUAUUGAUAUUAAAACAUCAUUAAAAUAAUUUUCUUAAAACUCUUUAUGAUGUUUUUUUUUUGUAUUUUUGCUAAUCUUUGAUGAAUUGAUCAAAAAGAUGUACAAUAAUUACGAUACUUUUUUAUUUUUCCACAUAAAAUAAGAUGAUUGAAUAGCUAUAUUUUUAUAUGUAUAAUAAAACAAAUAAUUGGCCAAAAGUUCAAAAUCAUUUUAUCAUGUCAGCAAUUUCCAGAUUCUUAUUAAAUAAAAACCGCCAUCCUUUCCAAAUAGCCUCCACAUCAGGGGGUGAGACUUCUCACUUUUUUAAAGAGUUUAAUAUGUCACUAGACCAAGCCAUACUUCUUCUUUUUUCCUACGAGCCUUGGGAGUUAAAGAUUUUCGGGCAAUAAUCUCCCCCAGUAAUCAGAAUCACUAUAUUAAUAUUAUGAUUAAGAGAAUAAUCAUCCGUUUCAAAGGGUGUUUGAACCCUGAACAAACAAAUAAUUAACCCGUUAUACUAUCAGUAGACACAAUUCCUUCGGUGACCAAAAGCUUUUUUUUUUUUUUUUUUUGAAAGAAUGACCAACAGCUACUUGGUAAUUAAGUAGCUAUAUCUACAUACCGUAAAUAUUACAAGGCCACGAAGACUGUGCCUGUCCUGACAUAGUAUUCCCCAUGUUUCAUGAUUUUAAGUUGAUCGAGUUGAAAUGGAAAAAGUCAUUUAACAAAUAAAAUAUAGUUACAUCAUAGUAACGCGUCGAAUUAACAAACAUUAAAGUGGCAAAACUCAUCGUACAGCCUCUCUCUACGGCUCCCAUAUUUAAUUAAACAAUAGGAAAACUAUCAUAUAUAUUCGACAAGGCAAGCACAUUUAUACAAUUUUUUAAAGAAAAAAUAAAAUAAAAAAAAACUUGAAAAGGCAAAUAAAGGGCAAGUGUAUCCAAUGCAACCUUCACAGUGAACACGUCCCACGUUCUUUUUCUUCCCUCUUUUAGAACUCUCUCUCUCUCUCUCUCUCUCUCUCUCUCCCUUUUGCCACUUAUCCUCUCUCUCUCUCUCUCAUCUCGCCGGAAAAGAGAGAACCAGACACAUAUAAUACGACGCCGUUUGCACAAAAAGAACACGAUCAUGUUGGAUCUCAGCCUUGGAAUCUUGUCUAACUAUAAAGAAGAUCAAGAUCGGAAAGUACCAUUCAUCUCAACCCCCGGUGAAGAAGAAUCUAACCUCUCCUCUUCCUCUUCCUCCUCCUUCUCCUCCUCACCCACAGCUUCUGCCUCCGGCAAAGCUUUUAUCACCUUCGGAAUUCUCAAACGCGACGAUGACGUUGUUCCUCCUCCUCCUCCUCAAGAAACUGGAGAUCUUGAUGCUCGCCGGAAUAUUGAAGUCUCCGUCGAGGACAGUCACUGGUUGAAUCUGUCUUCUUUACAGAGGAAUAAACAGCAAAUGGUGAAGAAGAGUAGAAGAGGACCAAGGUCCCGAAGCUCCCAGUAUCGUGGCGUCACUUUUUACCGUCGCACCGGUCGUUGGGAAUCUCAUAUUUGGUAUACCCAAAAAAAAAAAAAAUUUAAUCUUUUGUUUUUCUCUAAGACUAUUGAAUUAUUAUUACUAUAUAUAUCUCUAAUUUUGGUUUUGGGAUUGAUGAUUUGUAGGGAUUGUGGAAAGCAGGUUUAUUUGGGUAAGUAGAUUUUUCGUCUUAACUACGCGCGUGUGUCUGUGUGUCUAUUUAUAGGCAUAAACGAUGAAUUCAUAGCUAUCACAUUUUUGUGAUAAGAUUUAUUUGCUAGAUCUUUCUUGUCUGACAACAUCUGUUAACAAGUACUACUACAUACUAAAAAGUUGUUUAAACGUCUACCACCGUUUAAAAGUUACAAGUAUACACAUAUUUUUAUAUAAAACGUCAACAAAUAUAAUAGGGCUAUAUAUUACAGCUCAUUAACUAUGUUUCUUAAUUCUAUCUUCCACAUUUUAUUGAUCACAAUUUGUUGGUUUUUAGUCUGAACUUUUUAUUUUUCAUGUUUUGUUUUAAUAGGCGGGUUUGAUACUGCAUACGCAGCAGCAAGGUAAAAGAAAUUUCAAUAUACAUAUAAAUGCACACAUAUAUGAUAUUAUUUUUGCUAUAACAUUCGUCAUUUGUAGUAUGUUAGUUUUGUCAACAUAUACACAUUAUAUUCAUCGUUGAAGACAUUAAAGAAAUAUUAGUUGACUUGUAUUAAUAAAUGAAUAUAUACACUAGGGCGUACGACCGAGCUGCUAUCAAAUUCCGUGGUCUUGACGCAGAUAUCAAUUUCGUCGUGGAUGAUUAUAGACAAGACAUCGAUAAGGUAUAAAACAUUAUAAAUACGUCCCCUGAAAUAUAUGAUAAUAUGACGGAACUAUUUCUAUAUAUCUAUACUUGUUUUUCGUUUUUCGAAUCAGUUAUGGAUCUUAAUUAAAUGAUCAAUUACGUUUAGAUGAAGAAUUUAAAUAAAGUGGAGUUCGUGCAAACACUUAGGCGAGAGAGUGCGAGUUUCGGGAGAGGAAGUUCCAAAUACAAAGGCUUGACUCUUCAAAAAUGCACCCAAUUCAAAACUCAUCACGAUCAGAUUCAUCUCUUCCAAAACAGGUACCAUAAUUAAUCACUCUUAUCUAAUCUCAUGUUAAAACACUUCAUUUUAAAUAGUUUUCGAGUACUUUCUUAUCUUAUUUUUGGAAACCCUUAAAUUUUUUUUUUGUCAUUGGAAACCCUUAAUUAAAAAGUUGAAAGUGCAAUAGUUGUCUUAUAUAUAUAUUUCCCAUAUAAAUAUUGGAAAACAUUUUUCACUCGGCGGAUGGAAUAUGAAUGGUAGAAUACUACUCCUCAAUCACUUAUCUUCUUUUCAUCCAUAUUCCCUUUGUAAUUGUUUACCAUUCAAAGCCUAACACUCACUUUUGGAGAAAUAAUUUAACUCUACAAACUUUCACAAUAGAUAAGACAAAUUAGAACAAACCUAAUAAUAUUUACUUAUAUAUUCUAAAGGAUUUAUUUUCCAGGCUGAUCUAACCUGCUUUCACAAUAGAUAAGACAAAUUAGAACAAACCUAAUAAUAUUUACUUAUAUAUUCUAAAGGAUUUAUUUUCCAGGCUGAUCUAACCUGCUGAUCUUAAUUAUCAUAUUUCUUUAAUAUGAUCAUUUGUUUUUGUUAAUAAGUUUCUCUAAUCAUUAUAAAUCAUGUUAAACACAAAAGAAUAGUUUUAUUAAGAAAACCAUUAAUUUAAAUAAAAAUAACAAUAAUAAUUACAAUAACUUUAUAUAUGCGAUUCAAAAUUGAUCAUUCCUAUAUAGUAGUAUCAGUUUUACUCAUUUUGUUACUCAUCGAAAACUUGAGCAUGAUACGAAUUUUCCUACUCAGAUUUAUUUUUCUAAUUGAAUAGUAACAUAUUUAGUAGAAUAUGGAUGGUGUUAUUAUCUUACAAAGUUUUAAUUAUUAUCCUUUAACUGAUACCAAGCUAAAGUCAUUAUUUAAAAAAAUGCGAAAACUUAUAUUUUAAGAGAAAUGAAGGUAAUAUCGGUUCAUUUAAGUCGCUUUUGUUUACGAGUUUGAUACUUAUCUUAUCGGGAACGAUGUUUCCUUUAGUUUAACUUUUAUGUUUCGUCGUAUAAGCUUGAACACCAUUAUUAACAUAAAUUUGAAACCAAAGAGUAUAAAUAUUAUGUUGUAAAUAAUUUUGGAAAUUAUAUACAUGUAUGAAAUAUUAACAGGGGAUGGGACGCAGCAGCAAUCAAAUACAAUGAGAUGGGAAAGGGAGAAGGAGUCAUGAAGUUUGGUGCCCACAUUAAAGGUAACUGAUACAUGUGGGUCACAAUGUUUACACAUAUAUUUAAUGUAAGUUUGAUUGAUGAAUUUAUAUAACACUAACCACAAGUUUCACGUUUACUUUUGACUUGAUCAAGCAAACCCUAGCUAGCUAAACCUUUUGUCGUUUCUCUCUUUAAGCAACUUAGUAAAGAAAAGUAGAUCUUCUUCUGAUUCAAUAACACAUUUUUUUUAUCUUUCAGGAAAUGCUCACAACGAUCUUGAACUAAGUCUUGGUAUUUCGUCAUCAUCGGAAAAUAUAAAGUUAGGCGAUUACUAUAAAGGUAUUAACCGUUCCACGAUGGGUUUGUUCGGUAAGCAAUCAUCGGUCUAUUUACCGGUUACCACCAUGAACCCUUUGAAGACAGUUGCAGCAUCAUCAGGAUUCCCUUUUAUCACCAUGACCACUUCCUCUUCCUCCAUGUCUACUUGUUUUGAUCCGUAGGAUCGAUCCACACUCUCUUUUUUUUUACUAUAUAUAUAUAUACAUAUAUUUUGUAUAUCGACCAUAAAUUUGAUUCUUUCCGUAAUGAGUGAAAUAUAUUGAAAGUAUUUGUUCUAACUUCAACUCGAUUAUGUGCCAAACUUCGUUAUCACGAAGAUGUGACUACAAUGGGUCAUAAGAAAACUAUAAAUGUUAAUUGUUACGACUUACGAGUGGU
rnacentral:lncRNA from 1 species